rnacentral:rRNA from 1 species
AGAGUUUGAUCCUGGCUCAGGACGAACGCUGGCGGCGUGCUUAACACAUGCAAGUCGAACGCUGAAGCCCAGCUUGCUGGGUGGAUGAGUGGCGAACGGGUGAGUAACACGUGAGUAACCUGCCCUUCACUCUGGGAUAACUCCGGGAAACCGGUGCUAAUACUGGAUAGGACUCCUGCCUGCAUGGGUGGGGGUGGAAAGAUUUAUCGGUGGAGGAUGGACUCGCGGCCUAUCAGCUUGUUGGUGGGGUAAUGGCCUACCAAGGCGACGACGGGUAGCCGGCCUGAGAGGGUGACCGGCCACACUGGGACUGAGACACGGCCCAGACUCCUACGGGAGGCAGCAGUGGGGAAUAUUGCACAAUGGGCGGAAGCCUGAUGCAGCGACGCCGCGUGCGGGAUGACGGCCUUCGGGUUGUAAACCGCUUUCAGUAGGGACGAAGCUUUUGUGACGGUACCUACAGAAGAAGCACCGGCUAACUACGUG